rnacentral:rRNA from 1 species
CCUACGGGGUGCAGCAGUGGGGAAUAUUGCACAAUGGGGGAAACCCUGAUGCAGCGACGCCGCGUGAGCGAUGAAGUAUUUCGUUAUGUAAAGCUCUAUCAGCAGGGAAGAAAAUGACGGUACCUGAGUAAGAAGCCCCGGCUAACUACGUGCCAGCCGCCGCGGUAAUACGUAGGGGGCACGCGUUAUCCGGAUUUACUGGGUGUAAAGGGAGCGUAGACGGCGGUGCAAGUCUGGUGUGAAAGGCGGGGGCUCAACCCCGGGACUGCGCUUGAAACUGUACGGCUGGAGUGCAGGAGAGGUAAGUGGAAUUCCUAGUGUAGCGGUGAAAUGCGUAGAUAUUAGGAGGAACACCAGUGGCGAAGGCGGCCUACUGGACUGUAACUGACGUUGAGGCUCGAAAGCGUGGGGAGCAAACAGGAUUAGAUACCCUUGUAGUC